AGAAAAGAAAAGGGCCAGAGGACUGGAGGGGUUGCUGCCUGUCCCCUGGAGGAGCCCUGCAGUGCAUCGGGCCACAGCCUGUUUUCUUUCUACCCAGGAGAGUUUGGGGAAGUGUAUCGAGGGACCCUGAGGCUCCCCAGCCAGGACUGCAAGACUGUGGCCAUUAAGACCUUAAAAGACACAUCCCCAGGUGGCCAGUGGUGGAACUUCCUUCGAGAGGCAACUAUCAUGGGCCAGUUUAGCCACCCGCAUAUUCUGCAUCUGGAAGGUGUCGUCACAAAGCGAAAGCCGAUCAUGAUCAUCACAGAAUUUAUGGAGAAUGGAGCCCUGGAUGCCUUCCUGAGGGAGCGGGAGGACCAGCUGGUCCCUGGGCAGCUAGUGGCCAUGCUGCAGGGCAUAGCAUCUGGCAUGAACUACCUCAGUAAUCACAAUUAUGUCCACCGGGACCUGGCUGCCAGAAACAUCUUGGUGACUCAAAACCUGUGCUGCAAGGUGUCUGACUUUGGCCUGACUCGCCUCCUGGAUGACUUUGAUGGCACAUACGAAACCCAGGGAGGAAAGAUCCCUAUCCGUUGGACAGCCCCUGAAGCCAUUGCCCAUCGGAUCUUCACCACAGCCAGCGAUGUGUGGAGCUUUGGGAUUGUGAUGUGGGAGGUGCUGAGCUUUGGGGACAAGCCUUAUGGGGA
rnacentral:sRNA from 1 species